AACCAGUGAUGCAAUGAUUCUGCCAAAUGAUAAAAAGUGAUAUCAACUUUAAAACCGUUCCAUUUUAUUUCUGAGGUU
rnacentral:snoRNA from 1 species